UACGGAGGGGGCUAGCGUUGUUCGGAAUUACUGGGCGUAAAGCGCACGUAGGCGGCUUUGUAAGUUAGAGGUGAAAGCCCGGGGGCUCAACCGCGAAUUGCCUUUAAGACUGCAUCGCUAGAAUUGUGGAGAGGUAGUGGAAUUCCGAGUGUAGAGGUGAAAUUCGUAGAUAUUCGGAAGAACACCAGUGGCGAAGGCGGCUCACUGGACUGGUAUUGACGCUGAGGUGCGAAAGCGUGGGGAGCAAACAGG
rnacentral:rRNA from 1 species